UUUUAAAACCCAGUUUCCUAGUUUUCCAGGC
rnacentral:piRNA from 1 species